GACCUGAAGACAAAAGGAGACAAAUAGGGUUAUUAGAAUUCGAAGAAUGCCAAACCAAAAUAACGGGGUGAUGAUAACUCCAAACAAUUCUGAGACUGCCAAUAUGCUUGGGUAGCUGAUGGCUAUAGGUAUGCCUGCUAAGACUUGGGUCUUAGCAUGGGGUUGUUAGCUAGUUUCAAUAUGUGCUCAGAAUUAGAAUGUUGAUCCAGAUUUUUACACUACCCAUCCAUCUUGUUUCUUCUGAGUUGCAGCCAGAGAUCACUGGUUGUUGGUUCACAGGAAUAAGAAGGGUCAGUCUAAAUUGCAGACAAAAAUUCAAAAACAACUGAUGAGACUAGAAUCUAAUAAUAGCUGUACCAUAGUUUUUGAAACAUAAUUUUUUUCUCUCCAGUCGUCAGUUUUAUUAAAGACAAAUCAUGAUAGAAUUGACUUGUUCACAAAAUAAAGUCUUAUUAUACUUGGCCUGAUUAUUUGCAUAAAGCACAGUGAGAAUAAUUAUUUGCCAUAUAGCUUCCUUUUAAAAUUGUCUUUAAUGAAACUUUGUUCCUUAGGGAAUUUCAGAUGAGACCUUUUUAAAGCCUUAGUUUGGCACCAUUAAAUACCCGUAUGACUUGGGUAAAAUUUCUCUCCACUUGAGGUCCCAAGAGAACUUGGGGUUUCUAGGCCUAUUAGAAAGCAACAUUCUUUUCUUACCACAGACCAGGAACCCCAUUCAGGAACUAUGUAGCCAAGGUAUGAGGGCAGUUUUCUGAAGGGGCUUUUAUUGGCUUCAUAAUUUCAUUUUGAUUCCUUAAAGGAAAGCAUGCCAUUCUAGUCAAAGCCCUGGUAAAAUAACCAGUUUGUCAAAUUGUGUCCUGUAGAAAACAGAUUCCUUUUUUUUCUUUUGAGAUGGAAUCUUGCUCUGUUGCCUAGGCUGGAGUGCAAUGGCACAGUCUUGGCUCACUGCCACCUCUGCCUCCUGGAUUCAAGCAAUUCUCCUGCUUCAGCCUCCCAAAUAGCUGGGAUUACAGGCACCUGCUGCUACACCCAGCUAAUUUUUUGUAUUUUUAGUAGAGACAGAGUUUCACCAUAUUGGCCAUGCUGGUCUUGAACUCCUGACCUUGUGAUUCACCCACCUUGGCCUCCCAAAGUGCUGGGAUUACAGGCAUGAGCCACUGUGCCUGGCCCUUGAAAACAGAUUCUUAUUGCACUUAUGCAAAUAACUAUAUUGCCGUAAGUUAAAAAUGCAAACAGUUUCCAAAUUCUGGAGAAAUUAGGUAGAGAGAAGAAAAUGAGCUCUAAAUUUUGUUUACAAGAGUAUAUUUUACUCAAUUGUUAAAAGGUAUAAAUAGCUCAAAAGAAAAGUUUUCUUGGCUCUGAAAAACAAAGGAUCAGCAAUGUUUUAAGCAAAAAGUCAUAAAAGGAUUAUUUCAACCUUCUAUCAGUUCAAUCCAGGCAGCUAACUCCUGUUCUGCUUGAUAUUCAUGAACAUUUCAGCUCUCUAAUAGAGUCCUGAAAGGUUUUUUUCUUUAUUCUAAUGUCACAAUCUCCAAAGUUAUCUGAAACCUGCAUUUAAGAGCACCUGUUAGGCCAAGUACAAUGGCUCAUGUCUGCAGUCCCAGAACUUUGGGAGGCCAAGGCAGGUGGAUCACUUGAGGCCAGAAGCUUGAGACGAGCCUGGUCAAGAUAGUGAAACCCUCUCUCUACUAAACAUACCAAAAUAUAACCUCUUGUGGUGGCACAUGCCUGUGGUCCCAGCUACUCAGGAGACUGAAGCAGGAGAAUUGCUUAAACCUGGGGUGGCAAAAUUGUGCCACCAUGCUCCAGCCUGGGUGACAGAGCAAGACUCUGUCUCAAAAAAAUUAAAAAAGAGGACCUGUUAGAGUCUCAGAGCUGAUUAUAAAACCAUCUGUUAAAGACAAUUAAAACAAGACAAUGGUCUGUGGAUGACAAAAAGUCUUAGGGCAGCCACAGUCAAAGACACAAUUGACAAGGACAUCAGACAGAAGUGCAGAUAGGGCUUGACUCUUUCCAGCAUAGCCGGGGGGCAUGGCUAACUCUGUAUAUCCUCAGGCUUUACCUAGCUUUAAAGCAGACAAGGCUUACAGUUAAGUCAUUGUAGCAGUUUAUGAAGCAUUUAGUAGGCAUAAUAACCUUUAAAAUUGCAUAACAUUUCUUUUAUAAAUUCCCUUUCAUGAAUCUUUUUUAUGACUCACACAGACUAUCUACAACAUGCUUUGACUUUCUAACUUGUCCUAAACAUCACUCUUUUUAAGCAACCAGUUAUUUUACUUUAGGAAAAGAAUUUACUAUCCAAGAUACUUUUUCAUAUCAAAUUUCUUUUCUUUAUAACCUUCCUUGCCUUUAGAACCUUUGAAUUUGACAAACCAUUGAAUUGUACUGCAUGCUGCUUUGCACAUUCUUUAAAGGGGGGCACAUGAGGAGUUUAUUUACAUUCUGUACUGGAGAAGUUAUCUCCCCUCAAGAGAUUGCUCAGUUAGAUUUUUGCGAGGGCUUGUCUGAAUAAGUGUGGCCUAUUUCUAUACCACUGGGGUAGGAUUUUCCAGGAUGCAGUUACUGGUUAAAGAUUUAGGUAGCUUUCCUUGGAGAAAUAGAGCUAUUAGAAAGAUGAAUUCAGGGGUCAGGUAAAUAUUAAGCAAGCACCCAUGCUGGUGAGUAUAUUUUUCCCCUCAAGAGGUGUUGGGUAUUUAGACAUCACCAGGGACUGGUCCCCUAAGUAAUAUAAAGGGAUGUGAAUAUUUUAUUUUGGAGGGAUGGGGUGCCAUUUCUCCCAAUUACCUGACAAGAUUUGGAAGAGAGUUGCUCAGAGAAGAUUAGCACAGAGUAGUCAGCACUUGAACCCAAAAAGGAAAUUUAUAAUUUUACUUGCAACCUCCAAAGUUGCCCUCAGCUUUGUCCUGUUGAUGACAGUGUCUGAUUUGGAAACCAGCCAGAGCAGACAGCCCCUUUAGCUCAAGGCCAUCAGGAGUUGAGAUUCUGUCCCAUGGGUGGUUUAGACCUCAGAGCAGUCUCACUUUCAAUGGCCAACCUUCUGGCAGAAGGGGCAAGCCAUUCACAUGGCUUUUAUCCUACAGGGGCAGUGCCUUACAGUGGCAUGGCUUCCUGUACCAAUGGUAAUUACCUGGAGAAGUGUCCUUGGGGCAACCUGGAGGAGGCUGGUGGGCUUGCAGAGCAGCCAAUAGUUGAGCUCACCUUCUUUCCCUUUGUUUCUCCUUUUUCUUAGCCCUGUCCUUCUUAUUCUGCUCUCAGUUAUGAAAGACUGAAGAGGCUAAAUCGAGGACCUCCUACACAGGGGCACUGGGUUCCAAGGUUGACUUUUGCAAUUUUCUUUUCAUUCACUUUUAAGCCAAAUAGUGUUACAAAGGAAAACUAGUCUCCUGUUUUAAGGUUUGGGGAAAUCUUUCCGUUUUGGGGGAUGCAUCCAAGGGAUAUGUCAUGUGGUAUGGAGACGAGAUUACCUGUCUGUGAAGAUAGAGAAGAAAAAAGUAAAAACAAGGUGUCUCCUCUUAUCUUUCUAUUAUCCUAUAUGGGGUCCUCUCAAAUUUUUCUAUUAUCCCUAUUCAUCCUUAGGGUUCCAGAAUGAACCGCUCUUACCAUGUACCCUUUACCUUGGCUCUAUCUCAGCAUAAUUAUGCACUUGAGAAUAGAGGAGAUAUUGGAGUAAACAGUGGGCCCCCUGUUUAUCCUUGGGGUUCCAGAAUGAACCUGGCUUACCAUGUAUCCCUAACCUGGCCUUUGUCUUUGUUCUAAUGGUAAUCUGUUAGUCUGGGACCAGCUUUAUCUCUGUCCUAUGGGUUUCUUGUGCCUGUGGUAUUGGGCUGACCUAUAUCCUUGUCUCCAUGACCUCAUAGUGACUCUCACUUGGAGCAUUUUAGCAACAAAAUCAUUGUCUUUUCUCAGAUUCCCAUUUUCCAUGUUCUUUAAGUAGACAAGAGGCCUGCUUUUCAGCUAACUGCCCGAAGGGGGCUGGACUUCGCUUCCUUUAAAUAUGACCUUGAAGGUCUUGAUGUAUGUUAAGAAGGGCAUGGAAGUGAUUAGAGAAAUGGAGGCUACAAGAAGUGGGAGGAAGUGAGAAUACUCAUGGGAAUCCUUCAUAGACUUGCAAAAACAGGAGCUCUUGAAUUUUAGAGGAAACGUUUAUUUGCCCUCUUGACAUAAAGUAGUAACUUCCAGAGGACUUGGGGCUUGGAGUAAGAACUCACAUAUGGCAAAGGAAGAACUUUCCCUCCUUCUGGAGGGGUUCUAACUCAAAAAAAGCAAGUUUGUGGGGUCUUAAAGGGCCACAGAGUGAGGCCUUAAUCAGGUGAACAAACUGCUUCAAAAGCCACUGAAAAACUUACCCUUGGAGCAUAACAGGAACAAAAGCAUAUGGGAAGUCAUAAGUUGUUGGCAAAGCCAGGGUUCCAGUUAGUGUCUAUCUCCACAAUGUGCCAAGAGACAGGGGAAGGGUUGGAAGUCAUCUGAGUUGGUAGGGUAAAAACAAGUAUAAAUCUCAGGGGAUACCUGCAAGGAAGCCCAUGUCUUUGCUGCCGUGCAAAUGCAGCAAGAGCUGCAGGAACAUGAAUUACAGGGAAUGUGUGUUGAAGAAGUCAUGUGGCAUGCAAAGUGAAAACAAAGAGGUGGACUUGCCCCCAAGGCAGUCUGGUGGGUAUGCAAGGCCAUUUCAGAACAUACAUAGAGAAAACAGUAGAAUAGGCAGUGUAGGUUUUUCUUUUUCUUUCUUUCUUUUUUUUUUUUUGAAAGAGAUAAUUUCAGUUGAAAAAGCAGAAAUCCCAAACAUUGCAUGGGUUUAGGCUUCAGCUCUAUCACUCUCGCUAGCUCCCUGUUUAGAAGGGCCAUUAGUGCCUCAGUUCUACUUGAUGUGGGCCCCAAGAUUUUUCCCACCCCCACAAACCACCUGCCAGGGUGAGCUGAGAGAUUAGCUAAGAGGAGCAGAGCUACUUGUGGCUGAGAGGAAUCAUUCUGGGGGUUGGUUAGUAAUCAGGGGAGUAAAAGGAGAGAAGAAUACCAUGUAUAGGGGUUGAAUGUCUCCAGCUGAAGAAGGCAAGGUGUAGAAGUUUCUUACCACUAGGGAACAUAGCUGAGUCACACAGCACUAAAGUAUGCUAACAGUGGAAUGUAUUUGAGUCAUGGGAUCAAAGUAUUAUACCAGCAGCAAAUCCAUACAGGUCUGCAGCAAUCUCAAUUCUUGCCUCCUCAGAAGAAAGAAUUCAGCUGAGGGGGAUAAAGCAGAAGGAGAUACAGAGGCAAGUUUUAGAGCAGUAAUGAAAGUUUAUUAAAAAGCUUUAGAGCAAGAAUGAAAAGAUGUAAAGUACACUUGGAAGAGGGCCAAGCCAGUGACUUGAGAGAUCAGCUGUGGAGUUUGACAUUUUGACUUGGGUUUUAUAUGUUGGCAUGCUUCUGGGGUAUUGCGUUCCUUCUUCCGUGAUUCUUCCCUUGAGGUGGGCUGUCUGCAUGUGCAAUGGCCUACUGACACUUGGGAGGGGAGCAUGCACAGUGUGUGUACUGGAGUUGUACAUGUGCUCACUUGAGGCAUCCUUUUCUUAUCAGUCAAAUGUCCUUAGAGGGCCAUAUCCCAGUUAAACUCUGCCAUUUUGCCUCUCAAUGUGCACACUUGAGCCCACUCACCCAUCUCCUGAAAUCUUAUCAGGAAGUUGCCAAUGAUCAGUUUCAGGUGUUUUGGUUUAUAAGGGGACUGUCUUUUCCUGGCAUUGGUUGCAGCCAAUUAUUAUUUUAGAAAUACAGUUAGGCCUGUCUCUCUGAUGGCUGCCUGACAUUCCUGGUGUGUGUGUGUGUGUGUGUGUGUGUGUGUGUGUGUGUGUGUGUGUGUGUGUGUGGUGUGUCUGUGGUUGUGGUGGGGGUGGGAAGUGAGGAGCCCUCUCCUGCUCUGCUCAUGUCUGACUAGCUACCUACUGUGACAGUUUGAAUUUAAUGUGUCAUGGUUGAAGAAAGCAAAGAUCACUUGGUGACCAUCUAGAGGCAAAACUUCUCUAUGGAAUUUAAAAGUAAUUAGAUUUUCCUUUCAUCUAAAGCUGGCGUCUGGUACCAGGCUUCUCUGCCCCAAAUUUAUCAAUAACUUGAAUAUUUAUACAUCUCCGGAAUGCAUGUAUGCCAAAACUCAUUGUGUAACCCUUGCUGACAUCAAGGCACCAAAAUGUCUACAAAUGUAAUAAUUUGUCAUGACCUACAUGUUUAAUAUGGUCUAAAUUACCCUUAAUGCUUCUACUUUAAGGUCCAGAAAUACACUGCAGGAAAAAUCCACCACAGUGCACUCAGUCCUCUCUUGUUGAGGUGCCCUGCUGCACUCUUCUUCAGUGUUCUAUCUAAUAAAAGUUAACUUUUCAAAUCUAUACUGUUGUUGGUAAAUUAUUCUUACUAUCCCGCUAUCUGUGAGCUGACCAGUUUCCAUUGCUUGGGCCUUAAUACCUCACCUAACAAUGGAAAGGUCAUCUUUGGAUUGCCUCUGUUUGGGAAUUUUUGAUCUUCAUGUACCUGGCUGUCCAUAUCUCUCUCCAGGUUUGGGGAAAUUUUUGUUCUUUAAAUCCAUUUUUCAAUUAUUUAUCUCUUCUGGUACUUUCUCUCUCUUUUCCUUCUGGUACUACUAUAAUCUGUAUAUUAGUUCUCUUGAUAGUGUUCCAUAAAUCCCAUAGCCUUUUCUCAUUUCUUUUCAUUCAUUUUUUCUUCUUUCUCCUCUGACUGGAUAAUUUCAAAUUAUCUGCUUUGAGUUCAUAGAUUUUUCUGCUUGAUCAAGUGAAUUGUUGAUGCUCUUCAUUGCAUUUUUAAGUUUAUUUAUUGCUUUCUUCAGCUCCAGAAUUUUUCAAAAUAAAUUUUAUUGUGCUUACUUAAGGUACAGGAACACGUUGUUUUGUUGCAUUUUGCUCCACUGUGCUCCACAGAUAAUUGGCUUUUUCUCACAAAUUGAAAGUUUGCGGCAACCUUGCAUCAAGCAAAUCUAUUGCUGCCAUUUUUCCAACAGCAUGUAUUCACUUCUAGUCUCUGUGUCACAUUUUGGUAAUUCUCACAAUAUUUAAAAUUUUUCAUUAUUAUUGUGUCUGUUGUGGUAAUCUGCAAUUCAUGAUGUUUGAUGUUAUUAUCGUAAAUGUUUUGGGACACCACAAACCACACUCAUAUAAGACAGGAAACUUAACUGAUAAACUUUGUCUGCUCUGCCAACCUAUCUCUCCUCUUCUUGGGCCUCCCACUUCCUUAAGACACAACAAUAUUUAAAUUAGGUCAGUUAAUAACCCUACAAUGACCUCUAAUUGUUUGAGUGAAAGGAAGAAUCACAUAUUUCUUACUAUAAAUUAAAAGCUAAAAUGGUUUAGCUUAGUGAGGAAGGCAUGUUGAAAGGCAAGAUAGAUCCAAAGUUUGGCUUCCUGCACCAAACAUUUAGCCAAGUUGUGAAUGCAAAGAAAAAUUUCUUGAAGGAAAUUAAUGAUGCUACUCCAAUGAACACAUAAAAGAAAACAAAACAGUCUUAUUGCUAAUAUGGAGAAAGUUUUAGUUGUCUGAAUAAAAGAUCAAAGCAGCCACAACAUUUUCUUAAGCCGAAGCCUGAUCCAGAGAAGGUCCUUAACUCUAUUCAAUUCUAGGAAGAAUGAGAGAGGCAAAGAAGGUGCAGAAGAAACAUUUGAAGCUACCAGUUGUUGUUGGUUCAGGACGUUUAAAGAAAGAAGUAAUCUCCAUUACAUAAAAGUACAAGGUGGGCCUGGCGCAGUGGCUCACGCCUGUAAUCCCAGCACUUUGGGAAGCCGAGGCGGGCAGAUCACGAGGUCAAGAAACCGAGACCAUCCUGGCCAAUGUAGUGAAACCCCGUCUCUACUAAAAUACAAAAAUUAGCUGGGCAUGGUGGUACGCACCUGUAGUCCCAGCUACUCGGGAGGCUAAGGCAGGAGAAUUGCUCGAAGCCGGGAGGUGGAGGUUGCAGUGAGCCGAGAUGGUGCCACUGCACUCCAGCAGGGCACCUGGCAAAAGAGUGAGGCUCUGUCUUAAAAAAAAAAAAAAAUGUGCAAGGUGAAGCAGCAAGUGCUGAUGUAGAUGUUGCAAAAGUUAUCCGGAAGACCGAGCUAUGGUAAUUAAUGAAGGUGGCUUUACUAAACAACAUAUUUUCCAUGUAGACAAAAUAGCCUUCUGUUAGAGGAAGAUGCCAUCUAGAACUUUCACAGCUAGAGAGAGGAAAUCAAAGCCUCGCUUCAAAACUUCAAAGGAUGGGCUGACUCUCUUGUUAGGGGCUAAUGAAGCUGAUGACUUUAAGUUGAAGCCAAAGCUAUUUACUAUUUUGAAAGUCUUAGGGCCCAUACGAAUUAUGCAAAAUCUAGUCUACCUAUGCUCUAUCAAUGGGACAAUAAAGCUGAAUAACAGCGUGUCUGCUUACAGCUUGAUUUCCUGAAUAUUUAAUCCCACUGUUGAGACCUACCACUUGGAAAAAUAGAUUCCUUUUAGAAUAUUACUGCUCACUGACAUUGCACCUAGUCACUCAAGAGCUCUGAUGGAGAUGUACAUGGAGUUUAAUGUUGGUUCCAUGCCUGCUAACACAACAUCCAUUCUGUAGCCUAUGGAUUAAGGAAUAAUUUCAACUUUCAAGUUUUAUUAUUUAAGAAAUAUGUUUCAUAAUGCUAUGGCCACCAUAGAUGAUGAUUCCUUUAAUGAAUCUGAGAAAAGUAAGUUGAAAACCUUGUGAAGGAAUUCAUCAGUGAAGAUGCCAAUAAGAAUAUUUGUCAUUAAUAGAAGGAGGUCAAAAUAUGAAAAUUAACAGGAGUUUGGAAGAAGUUGAUUCCAACCCCUAUGGAUAACUCUGAGGAGUUUAAGACUUCAUUGGAGUACGUAUUUGCAAGAUGAGAUGGAAGUAGCAGGAUAAUUAGAAUUAGAGGUGGAGCCUAAGGAUAUAACUGAAUUGCUACAAUCUCAUAAUAAAAUUUUAAUAGAUGAGGAGUUGCUUCUUAUAGAUGAGCAAAGAAAUUGAUUUCUUGUGAUGGAAUUUACUCCUGGUGAAGGUGCCAUGAACAUUGUUUUAAUGACAACAAAUAAUUUAUAAUAUUACAUAAACUGAACUGAUAAAGCAGCAGCAAGGUUUGAGAUGAUUGAUUUCAACUUUGAAAGUGUUUUAAAAUUAAGGUAUGUCCAUUUUAUUUUUAUUAUUUUAUUUUAUUUUUUUGAGACGGAGUCUUACUCUGUUGCCCAGGCUGGAGUGUGGUGGCACAAUCUCAGCUCACUGCAACCACCUCUCCCUGCUGGGUUCAAGCUAUUUUCCUGCCUCAGCCUCCCAAGUAGCUGGGAUUAUAGGCACCUGCCACCACAUGCAGCUAAUUAUUGUAUUUUUUAGUAGAGACAGGGUUUCACUACGUUGGCUAGGCUGGUCUUGAACUACUGACUUCAAGUGAUCUGCCUACCUCAGCCUCCCAAAGUGCUGGAAUUACAGGCAUGAGCCCUGUAUCUGGCCCAUUUUAUUUUUAGACAUAAUGCUCUUGCACACCUAAUAGCCUACAGUAUAGGGUAAACAUAACUUCUGUAUGCACUGGGAAACAGAAAGUUCAUGUGACCCACUUUAUUGUGAUGUUUUCUUUAUGGAAAUGGACUGGAACUAAAACCACAUUAUCUCUAAAGUAUGCUUGUAUACAAUAUGAUGCUAUACAGUACAUGUAUAGUAAACAGAUUACCAUAAUGAUGCAAAUUAAAUAUCCAUCAACUCACAUAAUUACCCUUUUUUAUGGCAAAAGCAGCUAAAAUCCACUUAUUGAUUAAUAGUAUGAUCCAGGAUCUACUAGUUUUAUUACCUGCAGUCCUCAUGUGUACAUUAGAUCUCUAGACUCGUUCUUCCUACGUAUCUGCCACUUUGUACCUUCUGACCUACAUAUUCUGUUUGUUUUUAUUUCUGUUUGUUAAACUUCUCGUUUGGUUCAUGUGCUGUUUUCCUGAUUUCAUUAAGUUGUCUGUGUUCUUUUUGUGGCUCACUGUGUUUUUUCUUAACAAUUACUUUAAAUGUGUCUGGAAAUAUGUAGAGCUCCAUUUUGGAGGGUUGUUUACUGGAAAAAUAUGGUGUUUCUUGGGUGGUGCCAUGUUUCCUUGAUUUUUCAUGUUCUUCAAAGUCUUGAGUUACUGUCUUUGCAUUUGGAUAUAUAGUCAUGUCCUCCAGUCUUCACUGACUGGCUUCAGGGGACAAACACCUUCACCAGUCGGCUCAGCUGGGUAUUUGACAGCUCUCUCAGGCCUUUUCUAUGGAUGCGUCCAUACCGCCCCUCCUGCUCCCCUCUUUGAAGGAAAUUCUUAAGAUUGUAUGGCUUCUGUCAAUCCUGCAGCGCCAGACCAGAUGCUGAGAAGCUCUUGUUUGUCUUCCCUAGAGCAGUGCCCUAAAAUGCUCACAUUUGUGUGCUUUCUCCCAGUCCCAUGGAGUUGGGUGGUCUGUCUGCACAUGCUAUCUGCAGAGGCUUGCACUCCCUGUCUCCAGGAACACAUGUGAAGAACAGGCUGCAGGGUAGGGGGUAGUGAUGCAUGUGGGGCAUUGGGGGUACCCAUGGGCCAGUUGGGAUGGUCUGCAGGUGAGACAUCCCAAACAGCUCAUGGGUGGGUUUCUGAUGGACUCCCUGAAGCAGCAAGCGGGGUCCAUGGCCCUUUGUUUAGUAGUGAGCCCUGGUGGCUGUGAGUCUUUGCCUCUCUUUGCUGUUUGCAGCCUCCCUCCCCACUCAGCUGUGAUAAUCACCUCAGUAUUUUCUGUGGGGUGAGAAAGAAGUGGGCCUCUUGGGCAGUGUCUCACACAGCUGGAGGAGCCAGGGGCUCAUUCACUAUUGUCUCACUUCUUCCCGUGGGAGAAAUUGUGGGCUGAGGAGAUCUCUCUUGGCACUGAGUUGUGCUACCUUGCAGGAGAGGUGUCAUGGGUAAAGUGAAACUGUUCUUCUUGCCCUCUUCAAUGCAUCUAUUCUUGGAUUUUUUUUACUCCAAUAAUGUUCUGGAAUUUCUCCACUGGCCACCCAGGCUCAUACUACAGUACUCUCAUCCAUGGGUAGUCGUCAAAAUCAAUGUGUCCAUGGGGAAAUGAUAGUAGAAAACUCCUAUUCUGUCAUUUUACUGACAGCAUUCUCCUCUACUUUUAGAUUCUUUUUUUUUUGAGAUGGAGUUUCACUCUUGUUACCCAGGCUGGAGUGCAAUGGUGCGAUCUCGGCUCACCGCAACCUUCGCCUCCUGGGUUCAGGCAAUUCUACUGCCUCAGCCUCCUGAGUAGCUGGGACUACAGGCACACGCCACCAUGCCCAGCUAAUUUUUUGUAUUUUUAGUAGAGACGGGGUUUCACCAUGUUGACCAGGAUGGUCUCGAUCUCUUGACCUCGUGAUCCACCCGCCUCGGCCUCCUAAAGUGCUGGGAUUACAGGCUUGAGCCACCGCACCCAGCGUGGUCUCUAUCUCUUGACUUCAUGAUCCACCUGCCUCAGCCUCCCAAAGUGCUGGGAUUACAGGCUUGAGCCACUGCGCCCGGCCUACUUUUAGAUUCUUUAUUGUAGCCCCGAUGGCUUCCAUUUGCCUGCUAAAGGUAGGGUGGUCUUUAGCAAGAAAACGACCAUGUUCCACUCUGGAACACUUGCUCUUAAAAAUGACAGUUCUUCUAAAGCAAACAUUUUUCUCCGUUAUAUUAGUCACAGAAUGUAACUUCCCCAGAGCUUGAAGCUCUAGGUGAUAUAAUCUGAGCUUUACUGAGUACACCAAGAAAUUAAGAAGAGAAACCCAAACUAUCAUCUAUCACCUAGUACACUAUAUUUACUAAUCUAUAGCCACCUUUACUCUGUUUCAGUUAAAUUAGGUUAAUACUAGUUGCUAUAGACAACCCCUCCUAAAUUAUCUGUUAUCAAAAGUAUCUACUAAUUAGUGGGUUGAUAGAUAAACCCCCAAAUUCCAGUUGCUUAACACAAUAAAAUACUUUUUUCCUUUAUACAAAGGCAAAGGUGGCUGUUCUUCAGGUAGACGUUUCUCAUGGUGACUUGGGACACAGACUUCCUUCCUCUUGGGGUUCCACCAGUUUCUGAAGCCCUAGAGCUCCUUGUCUCCAUCUGGCCAUGGGGGAUAAAGGAGAGGGGAGACACACAAGCUCUCUCCUCACUUCAGCCUGGAAGUGACUUUCAUCACUUAUGCUCACGUUCCAAUGUGAUGCCAGAGAGCUAAGAAAUGGAUUCCUUGGCUGGGCAGCCACUUCCUAGCAACAACUGCACAACUAUGGAAGGAACAGCUGGCCGUCCUGUCACACUGAUUUUGAGAAGAGAACACAAUAGGUUAUUUUCCAUGUAAUUUCCAUCUCUCAGGGUUGAAUCAUUGAAGGUUUAACAAGACUAAUGAUUGUAAUCGCAAAUUAGGAUUUGUAGCAGUUUAUAAAAUAUUCAGGUAAUGCCCAUUUGUGGCUGGAUGUGUUUAUGUGUAUGGUGGGGGCUGUGAUGCUAGAAAAAGCUAUUCUGCAGCCUUAUUGAGUUUUCCUAAAUGAUGGAGAUAAAGGUUUUUGAUAGUUGCCUUGGAUGAUCACUAUUCUGUUGGCUUUCUUAGUAAAAUUUGACUUUAUGAGCAUAGUACAUCUGAGGAGGGUUUUAUGUGUUCCUCUGUGGUUUGUUGAGGCAAGAGGAGAGGGCACCUGACCAUGUGUGCUAUUGUUAAAAUCAGGGAACACUUUCUUUCCUCCCUUUGCAGUAAAGAACAUAAAAUUGAAACAUGCUAUGUAGCCUGAAGACAAGUCUGAGCCCGUGUUUGGGAAAUUAAAUGGCUUGAUCAUGUCAUUCAUAGUAAGUUAAGGUGACAGUGCAUCUGAUCAGUGCAAUUCUAUUACAUCAAUAUUGUUUUUUGUGCCCUUCAGAAUUCUGAUGAAUUCUGAUUAACUUUGCUAAUCACCUGUGGCCUGCUAGACCUGCUGAGCAGUACUGCAGUUGCGUGGGUGGGAGUAUUUGAGGGCUGGUAACAUGAACAGCAAAAACAAGAAUCUACUACUCUACAGUAGGCAUUACUUUGCAUUCCUAUCUCCUCUCCAGUUAUUCUAGUAAAGCACUGGUAGGAUGAAAGGUAGAAAUGGCAUCAGUGAAUAUACUCAGAAUGACUGCUUAUCAAUUUACCCAUAUUGCCUUUUUCAUUCUUCUCAAGUGGUCAUUUUCAUAUAACUGAUGCUGCGUCUCUUCAUUAAGAGGUAACAUACAUCAAUGCAGAACUAUUUACCCAAAUGAUAAUUUCUCCUUGUGCUUUUUCUCCAUUUCCAUGUCAAAUUUUAGAUUAUCAAUAUUAAUUUUGCUUGAAGCCAAGGAUCAAACUGUCAAUGCCAGCCAACUAUAUAAAUUUGCUUGUCACUAGUGGACUUAGGUCUGCUUGUUGCUCCUUUGCAACAUCUGUUCAUAAACAGAAAAAUUGCAUGGGCGGUUCUUAAGUGUGAUUCAUGAUCAUCAUAGGAGAAAAGUUCUCAAAUUCUUUUUUGCAUCUGCCUUUCAAAGAUUUCAGUUGUAUUUCUGCCUACAUUAAGGUGCUUUUCUUUUUGUAUUAAAAUUAAUUUUCUUUCCAAGGAUUUGAUUUGGUUGCGGCUUUUCUGACCUGGUUCCCUUCUAUAUCGUAUGCUCAGCUCUUAUAUUCAAAUCCAGUAUUAUAAAGCUGCAAUACAACAAAAUUUUAGUUCAACUUCCUCUGCUAAGACCGGCUCUAACAUGUCUUGUCUUAUUAAACUUCUCUGCAGCAGCACAUCUUUAUGAAGAGCGUGUAGAAUGCAGACCAUGAUACCGCUGGGCCAACACUUAGUGGCCUUCCCUUUCCUUUCUCUGACCUCAGCUCUGUAUCUGUGUCCCACAUCUGUACUGCUCUAGGGAGAACCCAGCUGAACCUUGCAAAACAGUGCACUGGUCUCUUUUAUUCUUGCUGUUCCAGGAGAUGUGAUAUGCACUAGGAGGAGGGGUUAUGUUGUAUGACCACAGCAAAGCCCAGAUGUGAAAACAUGUGUAAGAUGUCCUUGGGAUAUUUCCUAACCACAAACAGCAAACUUCAAGUCUCCAAAUCAGCUACUUGGAACUGCUUUUAUGGGAUAUGACAUUUAACAAGGAUGACAGUGCCUAGGAUAAUAUUGAAAUGAACCAAAUAAUGUUCUAAGAGGGCCAAAUGCAUAUGAGUUGUGAUGCAAUUUCAAGAAUAUUUGUGUCUGUUUUUAACAUCCUUUCUCACCUGUGCUUUCAACCCCACUUGUAUUCUUCUGUAAAGCCUUUCCAAGCCCUGAAAGACUUCAAAAAGCAGUAAGAAUUCACUGGACUACCCCAUAAGUCAUGUCUUUCCAACCCAAUCUAUUCUCCACAGAGGGACAUCUUAAUGCAUAAACAAAAUAAUCUCACUUCUGUUUCCUGUUGCACUUACAACAAAAUCCUAAUUCUUUACCACAGCCUAGAUGUUCUUGCACGAAUGUGACCCUGACCAUCUUUGCAGUCUCAUUUCACACCUUCUCCCACCUUUGCUCACUCUGUUCCAGUUAUACUGUAUUCGCUUAGCAACUUGAAAAUGCUAAGCUAUUUCCCACAUCAGAACCUUUGCUGUAGUCUUUGCUGGAACACAAUUAUCCCAGUUCUUUUUUUUUUUUUUUUUUGAGACAGAGUCUUGCUCUGUUGCCCAGGCUGGAGUGCAGCAGCGUGAUCUCAGCUCACUGCAACCUCCUCCUCCCAGAUUCAAGCAAUUCUCCUGCCUCAGCCUCCUGCGUAGCUGGGAUUACAGGGGCAUGCCAUUACACCUGACUAAUUUUUGUAUCUUUUAGUAGAGAUGGAGUUUCACCAUGUUGGUCCAUCUGGUCUCGAACUGCUGACCUCAUGGUCUACCUGUCUUGAACUCCCAAAGAACUGGGAUUACAGGCAUGAGCCACUGUGCCCACAAUUAUCCCAGUUCUGCUGAGCUGUAUCCUUCAGGUCCUUCAAGUCUGAAUUUAAAUGUUACCUCUUCAGAGAGGCCUUUCCUGGCUACCAUGUUUAAAGUAAGUCCUUCACAUUCUCACCCUCUUCAUCUCUAUCUUGAUGCCACUUUGCUUUCUAUGCAUUAUAGUAUUUGUUUACUCGCUUAUUAUCUCUUUCUCCUACUAGAACAUAAGCUUUAUGAGGGCAGGAACUUGUCUGUCUUCCCUUUGUAUCACCAGCACCUGGCACAGCUCGUCACACAAACCAGAUUGUUUGUCACUGUUUGCUGAACAAUGGUUUUUAUGGUCCCUCCAUGGUUGGCUUUUCCUUCCCACAAUGUACUUCCUUAUAGGGGCAGUUCUUUGUUUAUAAUUUGCCUUCCAAAAGGAAACUUACAAAUGACUUUUAAAAAUUAGAAGGCAGUGUAUAGAAGCAACUUUUGAAAAACUGUGUUUCCAGCGACAGCCUUUAGGAUCCUGUGUAGGAGCCUCUGGAAUUGCGAUACUUAAAAAAAUGAAGCGAAUAACUAGUGCAUGGCACUGUUGCACACAAACAGGAUUUUAAUUAUAUUCACUUUUCCAUCCCCUACCCAGGUUCCGCGAUGCAUUAAAGGAGAUACGCCCAGGCAAACCCCACAUCUGAAACUUACUCAUAAGGAAUAUAAAUAAGGGAUGGCAAAUGUGAUUUGGGCGAGAAGAAUAAAGGAGAGAGGGCAGGUGACUGGCUGGUGCCUGUGGGAGGAGUUGGGACCAUUUCUUAGCACCUUUCCAAUAAAACUGGAACAGAGUGAGCAAAGGUGGGAGAAGGUGUGAAAUGAGACUGGAAAGAUGGGCAGGGUCGCAUUUGUGCCAGACCUUCCUGCUUCCAAGCUUGGUUGGUUUGAUCAUGGCUCAGAGGUGUGCCCCCUUGCUCUGUGGUUGGAUCACUACCAAAACUAAUUGAUCUUGGAGGUUGGGGUCCCAGAAUGAAGGUGGAAGCAGGUGGGUUAGAGCAUUCCUGAAUAGAGGGAGGCUUUUUUCAUGGGUUUUCUGGUCUGUCUGUGAAAAGGACUCUACGCUGGCCCUGGGAUGAGAGCAUAAAGGAGCAAUGGGCACCUCCCCCAGCUCUCCGGGGAGAGACUCACAGCUCACCAGCCAUGGCUUCCUCACACCCAGGCCAGCUUUUCCCAGCAGAGGGAACUUCCCUCUCCAAGGCCUCCUCUGUUCUGAAGCCCGGAAAUGGGACCAACGGGAAGACUCUCACUUCUCACUUCUCAGCUGUACGGGGAGAUACCCAGGAGUGAAACCCACCCACCUAUAACUGCCAAAGGAGCCCUAGGUCUCACCUAUCUCCUUCUGUGAGUGACUCCACACAAUAUUCCACCCGUUGGCUGAGCCGUUGCUAGCUGAGGUGCUGCACUUUUUACCCCCACCACAGAUCCCCAGGCAUGUUCUUCUGCUCUUCCUCCACCCAUCUCCCCACUAACAGAGACUGAUUUUAGCACUUCCUUCCUGGUACAAGGCCUUAAGGUCUUUCUGCUGAGAGGAGAGAAGGGCUCAAAAGGCUUUGGUGUGAUGUCUUCAUUGUUUUCCCCUAGGGCCACCCUUAUUUGCUUCCCAUUUUCAACAAAGAAGAGAUGCCCCUGUGGGACAGGGGAGGGGUCAGGGGUCAGACAGGCAGGCUGCUCCCUCACCUAAUCAUUGCUCUCAUCCUCCUUCCCGUUUCCCUGUGGAACUUGAUAGUCACAGCUGCCCAACGAGUACGAUAUAGGGAAGAAGAUGGCCUACACGCCUCACUCACCAUGGUGUGAGCUGUCACAGAAGAGGGAACUUUUAACUUCAUGAUUUUGGUUGUUUUCUGGCUAAUUUGUAUGCCUUGCUGUGAAGAGUACAUACAUUUCUUUUAAACUACAGGAAGAAGAAAAUAUCACAUUGGUCACCAAUACUUCUAGGUAGAGUGAGAAACACUUUACCUGGAAUUGAGGUCCUCACCACACUAAACAUGACAGCUACGCUGUGUGACUGCCAGCACUCCCCAGAGAAUCGCAGGAUGGGCCUCUGGACUCAGAAAAUAUCAAUGUCCCUUUCAGAUGUGACCAUCUAGUUGCAGGAGAAGAAGCUCAGGGUUCCCACUGAUUCUACAUUAUGGACUAUUCCCUGAUAUAACCAGGACCUUUAAAAAGUCAUUUGAUGUCAAGCAUGGAGUGGCACAUCAAAUUUGGGGUUGUGGUGAUUUUUUUCCGACACCACCAAAUUAUGGAAAAUCUUGUGUGAGACCUAAAAAGCCAGCACAAGAGGCCCUGAUGAACUAUGGUCGACGAGGAAUAUGUGUCCUAAAGCCUCUUCAUAGACCGUGGGAUUCUGAAAGCAAGGUUGGCUCAUCUGAGGAUUCAGAAACUGAUCCAUACUCCGAUUAUGGCAGGGGAGGACCCUCAUCACCAUUUAACCGAGUUGGAAAACGAAGCCGCAGUGCUGGAGGCCUGGAGUUUGUUUAAUAAACAACUCUGAGAUUCAACUACAAAGGAAGAAUUACGAACCGAAGCUCUACAACUUCAUAAAGAAGAGGCCUUGAUUAAUAAAUAACCUGACACCUUUCAGAUGUAGCAUAAGGAAAAGCAUGGUGCCCCAAUUUCUGGGAGUCACUGCACUUCACUUACCCUGGGGCCUGUUUUACAGGCAUUUUCCUGCAUAGUUAAUUGUAGUUAUGCCCAAAAUAAACCUCAUUUUAUGUGGGACUAUUCUAUUCUGAGGGAAUGAUGUAAGCAAGAAUAUUGGCUGGAGUAUCUUGAAUAUCUGUGAUAGAUGGCUCCUUAGAAUGAAUCCUAAAUCUCCAAGGGACCUAUUUUAUCUUGUGAUUUUGCUCACAGGUUCUAAGCUACUGCUGGGCAGGGUUCCAAUUCUAUAUUCUCUGUCUUCUGGAAGCACUGAUGAAAUCACUCAGCGGCUACCAGCUUCCAUCUCACUAGGCACCUCUUGGCUUCAUCCCCACAGACUGAAAGCACGGAGGUGACUAAUGUGUCUUCCCCUUCAAAUUAUUCACAAACCCCACAUGACCUUUGGCAGGCAGGGGUUCUACCGUGAUGCUUCUGACCGUGGGUAAGGGACAUAUGUGCUCACCGUAACUUGCUAUUUCUCCUUGCUCCCUCGAGACCAGUGAGGCAGCUCUGUUAAUGGUCAGGCAUAGUUUGUUGGUGGCCCCCAAACAAUCCAUCGGCAGUGGACAUAUUACAGAAAACAUGGCUUUGAGUCUUAGCUUAAACUGUAUUUAUGUAGCAUGACGAUAGGAAAAAUAUCUAAUUGUAUUUGAAUUAAAAUUCAAACAAAGGCCCCAUGACUGGCUUGAAGAUGCCCAGGUCCAUAUGCCAUGUUUUCCAAGGAAGUCAAGAUAAGAGAGGAUGUGGUCUGUUCUGUCUUGAACGGUUCUGUUUCCAGACCAUUUCUCAAAGUCACUGGAGGCCCGCUUCUAGGGAAAUGAUUACUAAACUGUUGAUUAUUUUCUUUGUAUUGCUGGCUAUUCCCAACCACAGGGAAAAUAUGAGGUAGCUGUGGAGUUUAAGGAAAGAAAAUGUGUACAAAAAUGAGAAGCCACGCCUGCCUGUAGCACUAGCAAACAUCAAAGACGUCUGGUUUAUUUGAAUAUUUCCAAUAAACACCAGACACCCCAAACAAAAUUAGUAUUGGAACCAAAUUAAAGAAUUUGACUCAAUUACCUAAAAAAUAGCUAUUGGAUGAAAAAAAUAAAGGCUAAAAUAGUGUCUAAUUACUGACUGGCCAUUUUCAAAGUGGCUUCUCCUACAUUAUCCCAUUUUUAAAAAAGUAAAUUUGAUCUUUUUAAAUGUUAAAGUGAAGUGGUUCACAAUUGCUUGAAAUAAGCAAAGGACAUUAUAUUUAUACGCAUGCAAAUUACAAACCAGGCAAAACAGUCUCUUCUGCUGCUUUAUAUAUUUUUGUCAACCAUCAUGGAUUCAUGGAAAGGUCUCAAAUAGAUAGAACAAAAUGGAUUUUAAAAAAUUGUUUGAACUUAGCCUGUUUUUCAUUUCAUUCUCGCUGUCUUUGGUCUCACUUUCUCUGUUACCUUCCCUUGAAUGGUGAACUAUUAUUACUUGCAUGUGGAUGGAUUAUUAUUUAGUUUGCCAAACAUACCAUUUUUCCUCUCAUUAAAAUCUCAUAGUUGCUCAGCUUCAUUAAGAUAAAUGGAAUUAUUCAUCUGUUUCCACCCCUUUGGCUAUGGGGUCAACAAAAUGAUGUUAAGCAGGAGAGGACAGGGCUGGUGAACACUUUUAAAUAUCACUAAGUAAUUUUAGGAAGGAGCUGGCCUACCACUGUCCUGAAUGAUGGAUACGCUCUCAACCUUAAUGCCCAUUAAUGAUGUACAUAAUAACAGUUUGUAUUGUAACCAUGGCUGUUCAACACUUGAAUUUUGUGACAGUUAUAACCAGGAGUGAACAUUUCUGAAAUCUGAUUAACAUACACUGAAAAGUCAAAAACCAGAACAAAGCAAGACAGACAAAACCCCGAGCCUAACAAGCAGUCAAGGAUGGCAAACCAAAAAAGAAAAAGAAACAAGAGUAUAGCCAACUUUUUUUUUUAAUUAGAGUAUAUUAUACUUUCAAACUGGAUACACUAGAAAUUGGCAAUGCAACAUAAGAUGCAAAGGAAUAUACCAGUUACUGUCAAAAUGACCCUGUACAGCCUUGUAAUGCAAAAAGCUUUAUACAAUACAAAUUUUCAGUAAUGUACACAAACCUUGACAGUGUGAUCAUCUGAACAUAAUAUGAAGAGUUAAAAAAAGGACAGAAGAAAGAAAGUGCUGAGAUCCCUAACUGCAUUACUAUAUGGAAAAAUAAGCUAGCUUUCAUUGAAGAAUGCAUAGUGAAAACAACUGAAGUUAGUUGGUAGGUGAAUUUCUCAAAGAUGUUAGUGUUUUACACGGAAAGGAUAUCUAUGGAAUACAUCCUUCCCUGAGUAUCAACUGCAAACCAAAUUCAGGGGUACAUAUUUUCUAGGGUGGAGUCUGAAAAAUGCUGUAGAUUUUUUUCUUUAUUAAUAACAAUAAUAAUAUAAAAAGUCAAACAAACUCCCAACACACCUGUUCUCACUCAGAAAACUUUUAUAAUUUACCAGAAAGAUUGAUGACUCUUUCCAAAGUGCUAAAAAAGUUGCCCAAUUAUAUUAAGCAUUACUAAGUCAUUCAAAUACAAGUUCAGUGGCAAGCAGUGAAAUGCAUGGCAUUUGAACAGUAAACGUCUCCUUCCUUCACCCCUCUUACUCUUGAAAGUUGCAACCCUAAGACCUCCUAUUGCACAAGUGGCAUGCUGUAAAACCUAUAGUCCGAAUUGUCAGGGCCGCCCUUUCAGGUUUUUAACCCACUGGUGCUUAAGUGUUAUUCACCUUUUCUACCAGCCUCUGUGGGAUUAUAGCCCUCUUUCCUGUCAUCACUGAACUUGUAAUUUUGAAAACAUAUUGUUAGCCUAGUGGCACAUUCUCCAUUAUAUGGGGAUAAAGACAUGACUGGAA